rnacentral:rRNA from 1 species
CCUACGGGAGGCAGCAGUGAGGAAUAUUGGUCAAUGGGAGAGAGCCUGAACCAGCCAAGCCGCGUGAGGGAAGACGGCCCUAUGGGUUGUAAACCUCUUUUGUCGGAGAACAAAACCCGGGACGUGUCCCGGACUGCGUGUAUCCGAAGAAAAAACAUCGGCUAACUCCGUGCCAGCAGCCGCGGUAAUACGGAGGAUGCGAGCGUUAUCCGGUUUUAUUGGGUUUAAAGGGUGCGUAGGCGGGCCGUUAAGUCAGCGGUAAAAUUGCGGGGCUCAACCCCGGGGAGCCGUUGAAACUGGCAGACUUGAGUUGGCGAGAGGUACGCGGAAUGCGCGGUGUAGCGGUGAAAUGCAUAGAUAUCGCGCAGAACUCCGAUUGCGAAGGCAGCGUACCGGCGCCAGACUGACGCUGAGGCACGAAAGCGUGGGGAUCGAACAGGAUUAGAUACCCGGGUAGUC